rnacentral:ribozyme from 1 species
AUCGAAGAAGAAAUUCGGAGAAAUGAAGAGGAAUGCUCUGCCCCUCUGCCAUAUUUCUUUCUUCGCUUUUUUGCAUCCUUUCCUUCUUCCUUCUUUUAUUGGCGUCCUUCUUCAAAGUGCAACAAGGAA